UUAAAGGAGGUCGGGAUGAGCCACGACGACACGCGCGCC
rnacentral:antisense_RNA from 1 species